CUUCAGGCAUAGAGGAUAUUGUGUAUGUUCUGUUUGACUGCCAAGUAUAUGAUUUAGUAAGAAUACAGAAAUUAGAGUCAUUACUUGACAGAACAGCCUAUUGGUAUAUUGAAACAAAUUGUCUUAUUUCUUCCAGGAUGUAAACCCAUUUGCAUCACCAAGUAAGAUCACCAAAUAUAUAGUUAAGGCCAUUCAACUGAAAACUCAUUUUAUAGAACAGUAAUAUACAAAGGCGAUCAAUUUGGUUGAAUGUACUCCUUUUUAUAUCUUUGUAUAUUUGCAUUUAUUUUACAUUCUGCUGUUGUUUUUGUAUUUUGAUAAGGUCAAUUGACUACUCAAUAAAAAUGAAUGAAAAUGAAUAUACAGUGUUGGAAUAGUACUGAAGAGCCACCUGACCUCUAAAACUUCCUGACUGACUCUGGACCACUCAGUAAUUAAUAAGAGAAGAACGAAGACCAUUCCUAAGCACAAUGAUGGCAAAAUGAUGAAAGAUGCAUUGUGACCUCGCAACACAAGCUCCAUCCUUUUGUAAGUGAAAGAAAUUAAAGGAAGGAGAUUAAAAAAAAGCGAAGAGAAUACAGCUGAAUGUAGGUUUCACAAGUGUGCACUAUACUUCUGUAUACCAUUCCAUUCUUGCAAACUAUCCUUGCUUUCAACACAUUCAUUCAUCACCUAAUACAUUGCCUUUUGUUCAUUAAUCUUUUCAUUGCUCUUUUUUGAGGAUGGCAUCCAACUAGAACUUUCCUCUCAACCAUUCAUUCUUGCUUCAUAUGUUGAGAUAUAUAUACCUUCUUUUUUACUUACUCUUUUUUAUUUGGUCCCAUUCAUUCAGAACUCAUUCCUUCUGACUGCUAUGUCUUCUACUUUUCCACACACUUUUCCACAUUCAACUGCAUUCAAGUUACUUUUAUGUUUCUACUGACAUAUCCAAUGCUCUCUUCCAUAUAAUGAAGUGGGCAGAAGCGUAAGAUAAAACUGACGAUUUGUCUCAACGCUGCAUGUCCGCUACUGUAUAGUAAAUUGUGCCCAUCACAUACAAUUGGAAACAUACUGUGAGGAUGCUAUUUUGUUAAGGUUUUUUUUUUUUUUUAAGUCCAUAGGAUUCCAAAGUUUCUCAAAGAGCAAGUAUUUGCAUUUGAUCCUUGCUGAGAAUUUUGCUUCUGUGCUACUAAAAAUGAUUUGAUGAAAACUGGAAGGCUAUUUCUUUGAGAGAUCUUUCAGAGAUGGGACAGCUGGAAAAUACUUCCCACUGCAAUGGAACUCAAAGGCUUUUAUUAGAGAAUUUUCUUCCUGCUGGUCCCAUGUUUCUCUCUUCCUCCCCAUCUCUUUCCUUUGCCUUCGGUCUGUUUCACUCUGUGUGCUUUUAAGCUUUCAGAUAGUUUACCUCUUGGCGGCAACAGUACUCACUACUGACAGAAGAGACAAGUAAAGAAGGUGACUGGACAGCCUUAUUGACAGCCAGAAAGGACUAAAUUGAUUAUCCCCAAUGAAAUACAAUAAGAGGAAGACAUUUCACUAAAAGCAUAUCCUUUGAACAAGCUCUCUAUUAAUUAAUUGUUAGCCCCAGGAGAUAAUGUGGUGCCUAAACAAGAAAGCAAGGCAAAAAGAAAGAGUAUGUGGCAAGAGGAGGGAGGAGGGAGAGCAGCUCGGUCACCUUUUAAUAACUCUAUCAAAGGAUAUGUGUCGCCAAGCAGGCUGCCCUGGCAUAUCUCUAAGAUUCCCAAUGUACACUAAGUGCAGCCCAUUUAGCCAUUAUGUCUGAAUAUCAAUAAUGAGAGAGGAAAUUUUUUCUAUAGAAGUAUCUAUACCAAUUAAGGGCUUUCUGUUUUAAAGAGAGCUGUUAUGUGCCGAAGUCUGAAAGUUCCUUUCAAAUACAUUGCAGAAAGAGCCAAAAUAUACAUCCAUUUUUCUCAAUAAAUGUCUAAUAUAAGAACCAACGAACCAUCCAACACAUUGUUUUUCUGAAUCAGGCUGAAUGCCAGGAAUCCAGCAUUCUCUUUGACAUAAUGGCCAAACAGAUUAUAUAGGAAGCUCAAAAACAAUGCCAGUUAGAGGGAGCCCUCUCCCACCUUUGUUCUAUAGCAACUGGUACUUAAUGUAGGGUGACAUUGCUGUUGUUGUUCUUGUUCUUAUUAUGUUUAAUUUGUACAACUGAAUGUAAUGCUGGGAUAGUAAUGGCCAUUGAGAGCUCUAUAUUAAAGAAUUUGGCUAGCCCCUUUUAAAGCCAUCUAAAUUGAUGGCUGUCAUUCCAUCUGAGUGAAGGAUUUGGUUGCAAGUUCUUUUAAAAAAAAACAUGAGCAAUGUCCUAUUUUUUAAAAAUAGGAACUUCAGAUAAUUUCACAUGCCAUAGAUCUUUAGAAAACAAAUGGCAUUAAUAAUUAUGUGGCGGCCAUCUAAUUUUCUUGGUUUAAACCUUAUUUUAUAACUACCAUCAUUGUCAAUUACUUGUAUCUGACAGAAGCAGACUGAGGUCAGGGCAUGGAGGCUGAAGUUAAAUCUCCAGCUCUUCCUCUCAGGUUUACUCCCACUAAUAUUAGCUGAUGUCAUUCUAUCAAGCUGGAUCAAUGUCACAGAACAGAAAUUACUGUCACAUGGGUUAUCAGCAGGGUUUAUACAAUCCCAGGGCUAUAACCAUGUCAAAUAUACACUCCUGCAAGAUUAAAUGAUAUUGAGUUUCAGGUAGAAGUGAACAGCUUGGCACAAGGAAGCGGGACCUUGGUGACAAAGAGUUCCUGGAAAGCAGACAAUUAUCUCUUCUCCCAUUUCCCAAGUUAAGGAAAUUACCUGGGCUAGGCAUAAUAUUUCAUAAUAUUGGCCCACUUCAAGGAAGAUAUUCUAAGGUCACAUAUGAGAAACAUACAGAACUGGGGAUAUUUUAACAGUUCAACGUGUGCUAUUAUACUGUAGCAUUUGUAGGGCAUCUGCAGUGCUUACCUCUGCUUCAUCAGUGUCCUGGAAGAACAUAUACUGUAACUUUUAUAUAAGUUUACUUUUCUCAGACUUUAAAUCUUCUAUGAACCGGAUUGUAGCAAAAUACUGUGUAGUGGCAGUGAAAAAUGAGGUCCCAACAAAUGUAAGUCUUCCAUAAUUACAACUCAUUUUACUAUUUUUACUACUGUUUAAUAUUCUUGUCCUUGGCCAUAAUAAAAGAUGAUGAUGAUGAUGAUGAUGAUGUUGAUGAUGAUGACGACAGAAAAGUAGUUGCAAUUCUUCCUACCUUUUCCUUCCCACAACAGCUGAAUGAGCUGGCUGCUAAUAUUCCAACACAGGGAUUAGUUUUUCAGACUUCAGUUUUAUGUGGUUCACCCAAUUUUUGCUAAUCCCUUUACACUCUAUAAAGCUAUCACAUAAUAUGGGAGGAAACAAGACAAACAUAAAAGGGUGCACAUGAUGAUGACUGUUAGUGCCAGGGCACAUGAAACUUUAUGGGCUAGAGGUGCUUAUUACCAAGAUCUGCACAGCCUUUCCUCUGCUGUGUGUGGCAUGUGAUGGUAAUCAUGAAAAAGAGUUUAUGCCUUUUAAUAAAAUUUGGUAGUUGAAAAAGGUGCUACCAGAAUCUAGAUUUUCUUGUCCCCAUAGACUAACAUAGCUCUCCUCCUACGAUGUACAGGUACAUGGAGGUACUGUAUAUGGAGAGUUUCUACCCGCAUUGAAGGAUUUUGCUGAACUAGAGUUCUUUCCUGAAGUCAGAGAUUUUUCAGCAUGGAUUUUUUCUCUAAAAUCAGAUGUUCAUUAAGGGAGAUAGAGGACAGUACUUCCUGUAUGGCUUCCAGAAUUCAUCUCUUAUUUUGAUUUAGUGGCUGCCAAUUUUCCAAAUUGAAGUAACAGAUUCAAAUUAACCUGUUACAGGUUCCUCCCCCACCCUCUUUGGGUGCCAUGGCCUUAAGAACCUCCUUAGGCCAUGGGAACAGAGAUUUGGCAGGUCUGGUAAUCAGAAAUGCUUUCAUUUGGCUUUUUAAAAAUUAAUUCUGACUGGCUGAACAUUGUUCUUUUGCAUUUAUUAACACGGCAGUAAAUGAGGGAAAAUAAGAAAGGAUGGCUAAUCAAGUAAAAGGAUAUUGGAUAGUCACUGAUUACUCCUCACAAUUAUUGCUCACAUAAUAUGAGAUGCAUUCCCAUUUGAAAAAUAAUUCAUUUUAACCAUUUCUAAUGAAAAUGAAAAAAUCACAGUCUGUCUAGGUGGAAAAUUCAGUGUCUCAGGAGGAGGAGGAAGAACAUUAGUCUGGUCUAUCCUGGGAUAACAUUUCAAAUGAGUUCACCAUACAAAAUAUAUUCAUGUGGUAUUUGUGUUCCAAGUGUAACUGUAUUUUUGAAACUCUACUUUGUUAAAUUUAAAUGAUAUUAAUUGUUGGGAAAUACAAAAAUAAGUCAAACUUAGAUAAGUUUCCCAUAAUGCAUUAAUUUGUUGCAUACUAGAUUUAUGGUAUGACAUUUACCUUCUGCAGAUCAUGAGAAGAGGCAAGUAACUGGAACCUGGUCGAAGAUUGUGCGCAGACCUGGAAUGAGCACUGACAUUUAUGGGAAACUUUCAGGACCCAUCAGCAUGUAUGCCAUUCAAGUAUCCCACAAUACCUUAUAACCAUGCUGAUCUAGAACAAUGUUUCUCAGCCUCAGUAACUUUUAAGACUUAACAACCAAUGCUUACAGUGUCAGGUUCGGUCAGCACGAGGCUUCAGGGAAGCACGGGGCUGCAGGGAAGCUCG